ensembl:lncRNA
UACCGCCUGACCGGCACGUCAGGAUGUGCCAGCCGUGAACUAGACGGCGUCCUUCUCCAGAAACUCUGGGGCACAGCACUGGGGGGUCCUGGCACUGGGGGCUCCUGGCAUUGAGGGGGUCCUGGCAUUGGGAGUUCUCUGGUAUCGGGAGUCCUGGCACUGCGGGACCCCUGGCACUGGGGAGCCCCUGGCACUAGAUUUGAAGCCAGAUCGUUGGAGCAGCUGACAAUCAGAGCGUGUUCUUCAGGAUUGCUCACAGAAAUUUGUGUUUCUCUCUCCUCCCAGAAACACACAAGGCAGCCGCGAAGUUUACUGUCCAUGCAAGGACCCACUUGAGAGCGGAUGGCCGUGCCAACCAGAUGGAACGCCCGGACAGCAGGUGUAAACCAGGACAUCCUGGCAAACAGGUCGGUUGGGUCCCCCAAGACAGAUGGAACACUUCUGUGCCCAAGGCCACUACCAAGGGCUUUUGAAGGCCCCAUGUGUGCUGGAAAUAUUACUAAAUCUCACAAAAACCCAGGGUGAUUUCUUCCUGAAAUCAUCCAUUACUUCCUCCUUGGUUCAUCUGUUCUCAGUAACUUACUAUUUCUGGACCCCAGGACACUUCCACCACGAAGUCUUUUCUCUACUUACAAUGCUCCUGUCCGUCUUUCCCGUCUCCAUCCAUGGAGAUCCCAGUGAUUCUUCGAGACCUAACUCAGCAGUGCCUCUUGUGUGAAGAAAGGGCGGGUUGGGGACCUUUUUGUUACCUAAGCUCCUGCAGAGCUGCAUCUGUAUCCUUUUGGGGCAUUUGCCUCCUUCCAUUUUGUUACGUUUCUGGGUGGAAUCAUGUCCACUGCUGAGCUGAGAGGAGGGACCAAGCCCAAAGCCUGGAGUCCCCAGAACCCCGGGGCCACCGAAGCCGGACGUGCGCACUUAACUGCUGCGCCAACGGGCCGGCCCCGCCACUACUUCUGAUGCUAAUGGUCACUCUUGUAUCCGUAUCGACCUGAUCAUUCUUGCAGGUGUUGCUGCUGGCCUUCCUGCACUGGAUGCUCACAGAGAGAGGAGAGAUGUUUCUAACAAAAAGAGGGUGCCCCGUAUUCUCAGUUUGUUGUCAAAUUUCCCCCGAUGGAGCUCACCACAAGUUUCUGCACAGUUGAAAGAAAUAUGAGGGCACCUUCCCUAGGACACCCAACAUACUUCUCUGGACAGCAAAUGCCCCGUGUUCCAGCAAAGGUGCUAUGAACACAACAAAUCUAUGCCUUUUUAUAUGUACUUUUUAUACACUAGACACUAUGCUAAAUGCUCUAUAUAUGUUGUCUCAUUUGAUCUUACUUUAGUGAGGUAGGUACUACCAUUGUUCCUAUUCUACAGGUGAGGACACAGAUGUGCAGAGACCCAGCACCUCGACCCUCUGAUCUCAAGGUGAGAGGGUGGAGGCAGCUCACUCUGCUCUUCAGAUUUAACGGGACUUUUCACUGCAUUGCAGUCACCAACCCUGACUGUUGUCCUCCAGUCUCGUCAAGCGCCCACUGGGUCAUCCAGGCAACCAUUCUCCAGCAGAAAUCCCUCCUGUGCCUGAUGUGUAGGUGGACAUUAGGCCUCACUGAAUUACAUGGGCUGAUGGCGCUCAGUUUUCUUUUAGUUACAAUGCAAUUCAAAAUGUGAAUAAAGGCUCAAGAAAUAGGAAAUGCGGUCUGAACAAUAACGAAAGCUAAGAUAUUGAGUAAUAUCGCCAUGCUCUGUUCUGUGAGGACUCGGUCCUCAUAACAACCCCAAGAGGUAGGGACUAUUAUUAUUCCCAUUUUAUAGGCACAGACAGGUUAAGUAACUUGCACAAGAUUGCACAGCUCAUAAGUGGAGAAGCCAGCAUUUGAAUCCAGCAAUAGGGUAGGUCUGUUUCUCGCAAAUGCCAAAUACAGCAAGACUUUCAAUCUUCCUGUAUGCUUCUUUCUUAUCGCACUUUAGAAAAGAAUUCACCAAAAAUACCAGAAUUGAAAUCAGGCAUGAGCAGUAGUUCAAACGAGAGGUUCACAUCCAAUGAGUUCUACUCGUAGGCAGAGGGGAAAGGAAAAACUAAAAAGACUGAAAAUAUAAAGAAGAGAAAGGAAAGUGCUGGGGCCGGCCCCACGGUGCAGCGUUAAGUACGCACGUUCCACUUCGGCAACCCGGGGUUUGCCGGUUUGGAUCCCGGGUGUGGACAUGGCACCGCUUGGCAUGCCGUACUGUGGUAGGCGUCCCACAUAUAAAGUAGAGGAAGAUGGGCACGGAUGUUAGCUCAGGGCCAGUCUUCCUCAGAGAGAAGAGGAGGAUUGGCAGCAGUUAGCUCAGGGCUAAUCUUCCUCAAAAAAAACAAAAGAAGUAGUGGCAAAUUAAGCCCAUUAAGUCACAGGCUGCGAAGAGACAAGGAAUCUUUAUUAAUCACCAGCAGAGGACAUGACCUAGGAGACUCUGCCAGGAGAAAGGCAGUCAGAGCACCCACGGUUCUCCGGGUGGGGGCUCGGAGCCAGUGGGUUUGCACUAGCGUGGUUACUGCAUCCUGCACUCCUAGAAUGACUCACGCAGACCAUGGCGCCUCGAGAACUAGGGGUUACAGACAGUACCGAAUCACAGUCCCGGGGAAAGGAGUUUGUCCGUUUCCACACACAUCUGCACCUGACCCAUACGUCUAUCUUGUCCAAGGAUCCCCAAGGGAGGGCAUCCCACCAACUUUCCUUGCCAUUCUAUGCCAACAAUCACCAUUUUUUUCUUUAUGUUUAUCCUUAUUAGUGUCCAUUCCUUCUUCGGCUCUGUUUGUGGAGAGAUAGCUAAGGUGGUUUGCAUUUUCCUGUGGCAAGCACAUCUCAGAAAGUCCAAAUGGCACAGUUUCCCUCCGUUAAUUUUCACUUAGAUCUUAACCUUCUCAUUUUAUUUCACUUGGACUCUGGAUAGCCAAGUAGAAAUAAUGCUUGGCGGCCUUUGGGCAGGACACCGGCUGCUUCUCCACCCCUUCUCCUGUGGUUUAGUGAACCACACAGUCCGGUUCUGCAAUAUCCUUGUUUCUGGACUUCUAACCUCCUUCCCAGCAGGGAGAUGAUUCAUGCUAAAAGCCACGUCUUACACCAAGGCUUACUGGGCACACCAAAUGCUCAUUCAAAUGGCAACAUCUGUCCUUGGAACCCAAGGUUAAAUUUAGUUAAAGACGUCCCAACUCUGCCCCCAGCCCUCUUCAGUUCCAUCCGCUUUACUUUCCUGAAGAUGUGACGAGAAAGAUUUCAGAAGUGAGCACGACGGUGCGUCCCAGUUCUCUGGGCAGAGCUGCACCCGGCGCUGGGACUCUAUGAUGCUCUGAAGGAGGCAUGACCGUGCAGUGGGCUUACAACAAACUCACCGUUGGCAGAAGCUUCCAUGUCACCACUUUGGCCCUGGUAAAAGCAGAUUUCACGGCAGCACAGGGACGGGCUACAGUGGGAGGUGAGGAGGCAGUAAGGAGAACUUUCUUUAAUGUUCUCCAGAUCUGUCAAACCAAGCUUUGCUCUGUGCUGCCAUGCCACCCAGACGUCUGGGUGGUAACUCAGACUUUGAAGUUGUCACUACUCCUAGCUUGAUGGCUUGGAGGAGGCCCAGGAACUACAGGAACUUAAGGCUCAUACAAUCACUUGUGCGGGACCUGCGUUCUCAGCCUCCGCCCACUCAGCCUGCCAGCCGCCCAGGUCACAGCCAAGUCCGAUUGCUGCCCAUGCCUCCUGGAAAAAGCAAGAAACCCGCUGGGCAGACACUUGUCGAGCUGCAGUGGUUGAAACUGGCGGGAGCUGAGUGCAGGGAGAGGAUGAGUUUGAAAUUCUUGCUUCGGGCCAUAUGGAGUGGGAAACUGAGGCACGAGGCGGGAAGUUAUGGCCUGACUCCCAGCAGCUGAGCUGAACCCGGACAGCGGUCUGCUUCCUUGCUCUGCUGUGCUCCCCUCUGCAUCAGGUGGCCUCGCCCAACACAGGACAACGACCAGCUUGGACCCCCCAGAGGCUUCCCAGAGUGGGUGGGGGCUGGAUUGGGGCCCACAGGUGUGUUCCCUGACUCGGGGGGCCUGCGCAGACCCCACUGUCUGCCCUCCUAGGCUUCAGCAGAGAGACUUGCCCUUUUAUCUUGUUCACUUGCUGCCAAUCACUCUUCAUCAGAGCCCUUUCCUUCAGGCUGCGGCCGAGGAAUUGUUACAUCUCCUAGAUUUUAAAAAAUGUAGGUUGCUUUUUCUUAAAAAAAAAAUUGUCUCUGAAAUAAGCUCACAAGCCCUUUCCAUAUUUUUACAAAGCUGUUAGCAAAUCCUCAAGGAAGGAUGUUGUCGUCAGCUUCAGGUAGGUGCGUUAGGAGACAGCCUGGGGCAGCACUGCGGCUCGGUGCGGGGAGGAGGGCAGGCUGAAAUCCAAGGGAGCUGGAACACCCACCAUUCCCCACCACUGCCAAGAUGGAGCCCACCCGGGGAGGCAGCAGGAUACAGGGCCAAGGAAACCCCCAACACCAGCUAACCCCAUGGGGGGUGCAGGGGAGCCUGAGAGAAGGGCUGGAUGCCAGUGGGAAGUCUUAAGGAAAGGGUUUCAUGUGCCUCAAAGGACCCAAUCAACAGAAUGAAAAGGCAACCCACGGAGGGAGAGAAAAUAUUUGCAAAUCACCUAUCUGGUAAGGGACUAACAUUCAGAAUAUAUAAAGAACACUUACAACUCAACAACAAAAAAACAAGCAACUUGAAUAAAAAAUGGGCAAAGGACUACAAUAGACAUUUCUCCAAAUGACGUACCAACGCCAACAUGCACAAGAAAAAGUGUUUAAUUCACUAAUAACCAGGGAAAUGCAAAUCAAAACCACAAUGUGCUGUCACUUCACACCCAUUAGAGUAGCUAUUAUAAAAAACAAAAAAAAAGAAAAACCUUCAAUAAACCAGAAAAUAACAAGUGUGGGAAAAUAACUUGCUGGCGGGAAUGGAAGAUGGUACAGCCACUGUGGGAAACAGUAUAGCAGUUUCUCAAAAUAUUAAACAUAGAAUGACCAUGUGAUCCUGCAAUUCCACUUCUGGGCAUAUACAUGAAAUAAUUGAAAGGAGGAACUCAAACAAAUAUCUGUACACCCAUGUUCAUAGCAGCAUUGUCCACAAUAGCCAAAAGGUGGAAACAACCUAAAUGUCCAUUGAUGAUAAAUGGAUAAACAAAAUGUGGUAUAUCCAUACAAUGAAAUAUCGUCCAGCCUUAAAAAGGAAGGAAAUUCUGACACAUGCUACAACAUAGAUGAGCCUUGAAAACAUACGUUAAUUGAAAUAAGCCAGAUGCAGAAAGUCGAAUACUGUAUGAUUCCACUAAGGUGAGGUACCUAGACUAGUCAGAUUCAUGGAGACAGAAAGUAAAAUGGUGGUUGCCAGGGCCUGGGGGAGGAGGGGGAAAUGGGGGUUACU